GACGAACGCUGGCGGCGUGCUUAACACAUGCGAGUCGAACGGAAAGGCCCUGCUUGCCGGGUACUCGAGUGGCGAACGGGUGAGUAACACGUGGGUGAUCUGCCCUGCACUUCGGGAUAAGCCUGGGAAACUGGGUCUAAUACCGGAUAGGAGCCAUUUUUAGUGUGAUGGUUGGAAAGUUUUUUCGGUGUAGGAUGAGCUCGCGGCCUAUCAGCUUGUUGGUGGGGUAAUGGCCUACCAAGGCGGCGACGGGUAGCCGGCCUGAGAGGGUGGACGGCCACAUUGGGACUGAGAUACGGCCCAGACUCCUACGGGAGGCAGCAGUGGGGAAUAUUGCACAAUGGGCGCAAGCCUGAUGCAGCGACGCCGCGUGGGGGAUGACGGCCUUCGGGUUGUAAACUCCUUUCGCUAGGGACGAAGCUUUUUGUGACGGUACCUAGAGAAGAAGCACCGGCUAACUACGUG
rnacentral:rRNA from 1 species